rnacentral:ncRNA from 1 species
AUAAAAAAUUUUUAUAGUUUAUAAUUUUAUUUUAAAUUUAUUUUACAUACAAAUUUUAGUAUGAAAUUUAAAUUAUUUAAAUAAUAAUUUUUAUUGUAGUAAUUAAUUUUAAAAAUUUAAGAAAUUAUGAUUUAGUAAUAUAUAAAUAAAUAACAAAUUUUGUGCCAGCAGUUGCGGUUAUACAAAAAUUUAAUUAAAAUUUUUCAGUGAAUAAUAAAUAAAUAAAUUUUUAAAUUAAAAAUUAAAUUAUUAAGUGAAAUUUUAAUUUAAUAAAAUUUUAUAUAUAAGAUUAUGAUUUAAUAAAUUUAUAAAAAAACUAGGAUUAGAUACCCUAUUAUUAAAAUUUAAUUAAAAGUACUAAAAUAGUAAAUUAUUUUAGUUCAUUUAGAGGAAUCUGUCUAAUAAUUGAUAAUCCACGAUUAAAUUUACUUAAUUUAUAAUUUUAUAUAUCGUUGUUAAAAAAAUAUUUUAAAAUAAAAAUAAUAUUUAAAAAUUAUUAUAAAAAAUUAAUUCAGAUCAAGAUGUAGAAUAUAAUUAAGAAUAUGAUGGAUUACAAUAAAUUUAUUUAAAUGAAUUUUUUUUUUUGUAAUAAUGAAAUGAAAGUGGAUUUAAAUGUAAAUUUAUUUAUUAUAAUAAAUUGAUUAAAAAUUAAAAUAUGUACAUAUUGCCCGUCGCUUUCAUUUAAAAGUUGGAAUAAGUCGUAACAAAGUAGAGGUACUGGAAAGUGUUUCUAGAAUGA